AUGCCAAAAACGGAAUCCCACUGUAGUGCCUCAACAGCAUCCCUGCCCCUGCGGUUCUAGCAACACUGGUAAAGAGUGACAGAACGACCGUCUGUCACUGUCCGUGAGUACAGAAGGAGAAAAAGAAAGCUAUUAGCGAAGUAUAUACACGUUGAGUUUAUUAGCUUGAUACUUAAUCUAUUUAUGGUGAUAACUUAAAAUCUACUGCUAAACUAAUUGAAUUAUUAAUUGCGCUGCGAGGCAAAGCAUCCUAGACGAGUGUCUAAUCUAAAAGUGUACCUUUCAAAUCAAACGUUGAACUUAAACCGCUCCGUUAUAACAGUAAAAGACCCCUACUACCCGCCGAAUCUGAACUAGGGGAACUAAACAUCAACAACCCGAUCGAACGACCAGAUCGUUUCAACGGCUUCCUAAGGAGUAAGAACGCUAUGUCUACCUCAAUAUUUUCAGUGUUUUUAAGCCAAUGUUUCUUCUGGAAGCACUGUCAGAUGGUCUUUUUGAUGUAUCUUACCAUGUAAAAAAAUAACGAAUAAUACCAAAAAUAAUAAAAUGUGAUGAAUACAUUAUAUAACUCA
rnacentral:lncRNA from 1 species